UACGUAGGGGGGCAAGCGUUGUCCGGAAUUAUUGGGCGUAAAGAGCGCGUAGGCGGUCCGAUAAGUCGGCUGUGAAAGUCAGGGGCUCAACCCUUGAAAGCCGGCCGAUACUGUCGGACUAGAGUCCGGAAGAGGCAAGUGGAAUUCCCGGUGUAGCGGUGAAAUGCGCAGAUAUCAGGAGGAACACCUGCGGUGUAGACGGCUUUCGUGGACCAUUGCUGACGCUGAGACACGAAAGCGUGGGUAGCAAACAGG
rnacentral:rRNA from 1 species